GACGAACGCUGGCGGCGUGCUUAACACAUGCAAGUCGAACGGAAAGGCCCUGCUUUUGUGGGGUGCUCGAGUGGCGAACGGGUGAGUAACACGUGAGUAACCUGCCCUUGACUUUGGGAUAACUUCAGGAAACUGUGGCUAAUACCGGAUAGGAGCUCCUGCUGCAUGGUGGGGGUUGGAAAGUUUCGGCGGUUGGGGAUGGACUCGCGGCUUAUCAGCUUGUUGGUGGGGUAGUGGCUUACCAAGGCUUUGACGGGUAGCCGGCCUGGGAGGGUGACCGGCCAGAUUGGGACUGAGAUACGGCCCAGACUCCUACGGGAGGCAGCAGUGGGGAAUAUUGCACAAUGGGCGGAAGCCUGAUGCAGCAACGCCGCGUGCGGGAUGACGGCCUUCGGGUUGUAAACCGCUUUCGCCUGUGACGAAGCGUGAGUGACGGUAAUGGGUAAAGAAGCACCGGCUAACUACGUG
rnacentral:rRNA from 1 species